GGUAUUGAGACAUGGUGACCCUUUGAUUGGUA
rnacentral:scRNA from 1 species